CCUACGGGUGGCAGCAGUGGGGAAUAUUGCUCAAUGGGGGGAACCCUGAUGCAGCGAAGCCGCGUGAGUGAAGAAGUAUUUCGGUAUGUAAAGCUCUAUCAGCAGGGAAGAAAAUGACGGUACCUGACUAAGAAGCCCCGGCUAACUACGUGCCAGCAUCCGCGGGAAUACGUAGGGGGCAAGCGUUAUCCGGAUUUACUGGGGGUAAAGGGAGCGCAGGCGGCUGUGCAAGUCUGGAGGGAAAGGCGGGGGCCCAACCCCCGGACUGCUCUGGAAACUGUAAAGCUGGAGUGCAGGAGAGGUAAGCGGAAUUCCUGGUGUAGCGGUGAAAUGCGUAGAUAUUAGGAGGAACCCCAGUGGCGAAGGCAGCUUACUGGACUGCAACUGACGUUGAGGCUCGAAAGCGUGGGGAGCAAACAGGAUUAGAUACCCGGGUAGUC
rnacentral:rRNA from 1 species